AUGGGUGUGCUGGAACUGGCAGACAGGUUUCACUUAGGAUGAAAUGGUUUAAGUGCCUUGCAAGUUCGACUCUUGUCACCUAUA